rnacentral:rRNA from 1 species
AGUGAACGCUGGCGGCGUGCCUAAUACAUGCAAGUCGAACGGACGAGUAAGAGCUUGCUCUUAUGAGUUAGUGGCGCACGGGUGAGUAAUGUAUAGCUAAUCUGCCCUACACUAGAGGACAACAGUUGGAAACGACUGCUAAUACUCUAUACUCCUCUCUAGCAUAAGUUAGAUAGGGAAAGUUUUUUGGUGUAGGAUGAGGCUAUAUUGUAUCAGCUAGUUGGUGAGGUAAUGGCUCACCAAGGCUAUGACGCAUAACUGGUCUGAGAGGAUGAUCAGUCACACUGGAACUGAGACACGGUCCAGACUCCUACGGGAGGCAGCAGUAGGGAAUAUUGCUCAAUGGGGGAAACCCUGAAGCAGCAACGCCGCGUGGAGGAUGACACUUUUCGGAGCGUAAACUCCUUUUGUUAGGGAAGAACAAUGACGGUACCUAACGAAUAAGCACCGGCUAACUCCGUGCCAGCAGCCGCGGUAAUACGGAGGGUGCAAGCGUUACUCGGAAUCACUGGGCGUAAAGGACGCGUAGGCGGAUUAUCAAGUCUCUUGUGAAAUCCUAUGGCUUAACCAUAGAACUGCUUGGGAAACUGAUAAUCUAGAGUGAGGGAGAGGCAGAUGGAAUUGGUGGUGUAGGGGUAAAAUCCGUAGAGAUCACCAGGAAUACCCAUUGCGAAGGCGAUCUGCUGGAACUCAACUGACGCUAAUGCGUGAAAGCGUGGGGAGCAAACAGG